CUCAGCACUAGUCUCGUUUAGCAAGCUGUUGUAUAAAAGCAAUUAUCCACUUCAUGUUUCAACACAAAAGUAAGCCGUUUUCUGUGAAUGUGCAAGACUUCCUGUUCAAUUAAUUAGCCGCUGUAGGGUAAUAGCGAGAUGAAAGUGCAGUAAACCGUAAAACUGUUUGCACUACAAACCACCCUGUUCGUGAUGACGAUAAUACAUUAAAAUAAUAAGGUAAGACACACCAACUUUGCAAUAUCAAAGCCGCAAAACCAGUUAUUUUGUACAGCUAAUUAGCUGGAAGUGGAUGAGACCGGAAGCCUCGCAUACGCACAUUAAAUAUACAAAUGGUCGCCGCGCUCGCUCUCAAGGGAAAAAUAAGGUGUCUUUGCCUCCCUGUGUUAAACCAGCACACAUCAUGUUGCUGGUAACAGAUCCAGAACCCAGCAAAGCAUUGCAUCGAACAUUGUCCACCACUGGAACCAUAGUCUCCUGCAGGAUCCCAGGAGAAGCUUGAACAUCUCCCCAGCCUGUGAUCCAGCUGCUGGUCCCAGAAAUGAAGGCGCUGUUCUGGGCCGCCAGACACACGGGUCUAAUAUAGUUAUUAAAGGUGACUGUGGAGGACAGCUGGAGCAGAGCAAUGUCAUUG